UACGAAGGGGGCUAGCGUUGCUCGGAAUUACUGGGCGUAAAGAGCUCGUAGGCGGUUCGAUAAGUCGGACGUGAAAUCUCCACGCUCAACGUGGAGGGGCCGUUCGAUACUGUCGUGACUCGAGUCCGGUAGGGGAGUGUGGAAUUCCCGGUGUAGCGGUGAAAUGCGCAGAGAUCGGGAGGAACACCGGUGGCGAAGGCGCACAUCUGGCCCGAUACUGACGCUGAGGCGCGAAAGCUAGGGGAGCAAACGGG
rnacentral:rRNA from 1 species